rnacentral:lncRNA from 1 species
GCAGGCAGCCACGGUGUCGGAGGCGAGGCGAGGAAGGGAGCUGGAAUAACAAAGAACGACCCUGAAGGCAGCAGAACAGAGCAGGACUGAAGGCCACCAAGGGGAUUUCAACUCUUCAGAAAAAAUAAGUGACUCACCUUCUCACAAAGAGCAAGAAUCACAGAGGUCAGAUUGUCUCCUCCUGCCCAUCAGGGACAGAGUCCCCCAUCUUUGCCUUGCUCCAUCUGGCAGAUCCUGGAAUGGUGACACUUCCACACUUAAGGUUACAGUCCAUCACGGUCAAGAUGGCAGGAACUUAAACCAGCCGAGCACAUCGGUUCCACCGUCAGCAGCGGAGAGAAAUGGACGCAUGUGUGCUCUGUGUUCCACUCACCUUGCAGAGCUCAGGGCCUGAAGCCAGGUCGUGGUGCCACUACUUUCAGGCUGGAUGUUCCUGCAUCAGUUAAGUCAAUCAAUACAACCCUUGAAAGACAUGCCCACAGGUCAAUCAAAUCUAGACAAUUUGUCUCUGAGACCCUCUCCCCAGGUGAUUAUAAACUAUUAUAUUGGGUAUCUGAGGACAGGACUGCAUUGCAAAUGUAGGGGCACCUGUGUCGUCAUGUCUGCCUACUCUACCAUUUUGGCAUUUUGCUGGAUUCUUGGGCUCUGGUCUCACUCUGGUACGGUAUUUGGGAGCACGGAGUUUCUCUCUCCUCUCCAGGAGUAUCUGGGUGAAGGGGGAGGCUAGCUUUGUAGUGGAUGGUGGCUUCUUGACAGCACUUUCCUUUUUGACCCUGAGAAACGGGGCUCAUUUUCAUUAUUGAUGCUUUCUUUAUAAAUCGCUCAUUUUGUCCAUUUGUUUUCAUUUAUUUUCAAAGAUCUGAGCUGAGUUCCCUAUUAUAAUUCUGUCUCUUUCCCCUAUGUGUGGUUAUUUUCCCAUUAUCGCUUCUAAUUAUGUCUGAGUUCCCUUUCUUCCAGGAUUAGCGUAAACAGGGUUCAUCUAUUUCAUUCCUUGAAUGUGUGACUCCACCCAAGAAAUCUGUCAUCCACUCAAACCCAUGACACCUGUAUUUACACCACCCCAACACCCUUAUUCCUGCUACAGCUGAGCCAGCCUCCACCUUCAAUCCUGACACUUCUGUUCCCUUGAAUCUCCUUCCAUGUCACCCUAUAGGCAACUGGGCCAAGUGGCCAUGUGCUGACACCUCUAAGACCACAAGCCUAAAUAAACCAAUCUUCUUU